rnacentral:lncRNA from 7 species
GCAGGCGCGGGCGGCGCCGUCGUCCCGGGUGGCCGGGAUGGAGAUGAUGUUCCCCGUGCCGUCGGUUUCCGGAUGAACGAACGAGAUUAGGCGGAGGGAAAAUGAUUCGGCUAGGUAACUCCAGGGCGUUGACUGCUUGAUCAACGGUCCAGAUUAGAAAAGGAAUAACGAUUCGUGUGUGCUGAUCAUGGUUGUUGGAUCAGAUGUGAUUAGAUCCUAGGAUAACGGUUCGGCAACGCGAUCUGAUCCCCAGAUCUAGAUCUUGCGGUCCAGCUACGCGCAUUUGCAUAAAAGACCCGGAAUCUUUGUAAAUCAACUUACAGUCCGGGUUAGUAUUAAAACCAUUGCAGUAGGGUCUUGAAAUUUGUAGCUAAGUUCCUGAGUUAUUGGAGAUUAUUACCCGUAGUCCAUGAAUUAGGAUCAACUCUGGAAAAUGAUUUUUAUAUAAAAAUAAACUUAGAAAUCUUAGAUAAAUCAUAACUUGACCAUUUUAACUCCGAUUUAGUCCAUUCCAGUUGCAUUAGCUUCGCAAUAUAGUUGCCUAAACUUUUAUAACAUUAUUUGGUCAAGUAACAUGUUAUUAGAGAAGUAUUGGUUUAACCUAUGCUUAGUAGAUUAAUCUAGCUAAACAAAGAUAAUCUAUCCGUAUGUUAUAACCUGACUAAAAUAUGAUCCCUAGUCAAGUUGUAACCUAGAUUAAGAUUGAAUAGCUAUUUCGUUGUAACAUUUUCUCACAUGAUUUAUAUCAAUCAAUAUAGAAUAUAAUUUUAUUAAUUAAUCACCUAAGACUUUGAAAAGCCAUAUCUUUUAAACCGUAAUUCUGAUUUAGUGGUUCUCAAACAUAUGACCUCGUAGCAGCGUGUAGAAUAUUCUUACGAUAUUUGUUCUUAUGUUUGGUUUACUAUUAUAUUUAUGUACUCCUUGACUAUUUAUAUGUAUUGCUACGAGUAACAAUGAGGUCACGAGAAACUUGAAGAUUAACUUGGAGAAGUGCCUAUCAAUCUCGAGUCUAAGGCAAGUUGUGCCCUUGAUCACUUUUCUUUACCUAAUAAUGUUCUCUAUUAAUCACUAUGACAUGCUCAGGAUAAUUUGAUGGGACCUAAUAGGUUUCCCUAGAUUUUUUAUCCCACCCCUUGCAGACAAAUGAAUUAUUGGGUAGACUUGUUAUUGCUCUACCUGGUUUUAGAAUUAAUGUUACAUUUGAAUAAUGAUCAUGUUCCAAUUAUGUUGUUACUUUAAUUAUUGUUCAUAACAAGAUCAUUAUGUUAAUUGGAACAUGGAGCUUAACUUGAGAUAAUAGUGCUACCACAAGUGUGGUAUGAGAUGCCCUUGGCUGACUAAUUAGGAAAGCUAGUGGAGGACUACCUUACCCGAAAGGGGCAAGGGCGGUAUAGGAGCUGCGGUAUAGGGAGGUUCUCGGAUCGAUCAUGCUGCGAUGGCUUUUCGGAUGAGUGAUUCCUAUAUUGCCCUUCUCAGAAACGUAGCGGGUUUUCUGAAGCUAGUGGAACUUUGUAAAGGCCUCGUAGUGCUACCCUGCCUCAUCUCCUCGACAGAGAUGAAUGGGAAGUCGCGAUCUCUUGGCAAAUGGGUAACAUGACUUGUGAGUAAAGGGCACAACCUCUGCAGAGUGUAAAACCAGUAUAUUAGUCGUGCUCGCGGUCAAGGGCGACUGAGGACUCUCGCAUGAUUAAUUUAUGGAACUAAACUCAAUAUGUCAUUUGCAUUGCAUUGUGGGUGUUAUUAUUAGUUGUGAUAUCUUAUUUAAUUGGGUUGGUAUCUACUUAUACCUAGUAACUACUAAUAAAACUUUGACUAACUUUAAAAGCAAUGCUCAACUUUAACUAUCUCCUUUGAUAAGCCUUACACUUCACAUGAGCCCCACUGUAAGUGAGAUCAUACACAUUAUUCCCCACAACUUGUCAAGCGAUGAACGUAUGUGAGCUCACCCUUGAUGUACUCAAAUCCCCCAGGUCAAGGACAUGUACUACAAGAUGAGGAGCAAGAAGGAUGUCACGAUGAGAUUCGUGAGAGGUCUAGGCCGUCGUCUCCUAGUCAACUAUGGUUGCUGGAUCGUUGUCUUCGUAUGAUGUAACUAUUUAACUAUUUUGUAUAGAACUGCAUUAUAUAUUAAAGAUAUGACAUUCGUU